rnacentral:rRNA from 1 species
AUACGGAGGGUGCAAGCGUUAUUCGGAAUUACUGGGUUUAAAGGGUGCGUAGGCGGUUAAAUAAGUUGUCAGUGAAAGGCUACGGCUCAACUGUAGUAGUGCUGGCGAUACUGUAUAACUAAGAACAUGGGAGGGGUACCUGGAAUGUGUGGUGUAGCGGUGAAAUGCGUAGAUAUCACACAGAACACCGGAGGCAAAGGCGGUGUACUAGACCAUAGUUGACGCUGAGGCACGAAAGCGUGGGGAUCAAACAGGAUUAGAUACCCUGGUAGUCCACGCCCUAAACGAUGAUCACUAGAUAUUGGCGACAGACAGUCAGUGUCCAAGCGAAAGUGAUAAGUGAUCCACCUGGGGAAUACGGCCGCAAGGUUAAA